ACUCGAGUGGCGAACGGGUGAGUAACACGUGGGUGAUCUGCCCUGCACUUCGGGAUAAGCCUGGGAAACUGGGUCUAAUACCGGAUAGGAGCCAUCUUUAGUGUGGUGGUUGGAAAGUUUUUUCGGUGUAGGAUGAGCUCGCGGCCUAUCAGCUUGUUGGUGGGGUAAUGGCCUACCAAGGCGGCGACGGGUAGCCGGCCUGAGAGGGUGUACGGCCACAUUGGGACUGAGAUACGGCCCAG
rnacentral:rRNA from 1 species